GCAGUCGAGCGAAUCGAUGGGAGCUUGCUCCCUGAGAUUAGCGGCGGACGGGUGAGUAACACGUGGGCAACCUGCCUAUAAGACUGGGAUAACUUCGGGAAACCGGAGCUAAUACCGGAUACGUUCUUUUCUCGCAUGAGAGAAGAUGGAAAGACGGUUUACGCUGUCACUUAUAGAUGGGCCCGCGGCGCAUUAGCUAGUUGGUGAGGUAAUGGCUCACCAAGGCGACGAUGCGUAGCCGACCUGAGAGGGUGAUCGGCCACACUGGGACUGAGACACGGCCCAGACUCCUACGGGAGGCAGCAGUAGGGAAUCUUCCGCAAUGGACGAAAGUCUGACGGAGCAACGCCGCGUGAACGAAGAAGGCCUUCGGGUCGUAAAGUUCUGUUGUUAGGGAAGAACAAGUACCAGAGUAACUGCUGGUACCUUGACGGUACCUAACCAGAAAGCCACGGCUAACUACGUGCCAGCAGCCGCGGUAAUACGUAGGUGGCAAGCGUUGUCCGGAAUUAUUGGGCGUAAAGCGCGCGCAGGUGGUUCCUUAAGUCUGAUGUGAAAGCCCACGGCUCAACCGUGGAGGGUCAUUGGAAACUGGGGAACUUGAGUGCAGAAGAGGAAAGUGGAAUUCCAAGUGUAGCGGUGAAAUGCGUAGAGAUUUGGAGGAACACCAGUGGCGAAGGCGACUUUCUGGUCUGUAACUGACACUGAGGCGCGAAAGCGUG
rnacentral:rRNA from 1 species